rnacentral:rRNA from 1 species
UACGAAGGGGGCUAGCGUUGUUCGGAAUUACUGGGCGUAAAGCGCACGUAGGCGGGUUAUUAAGUCAGGGGUGAAAUCCCGGAGCUCAACUCCGGAACUGCCUUUGAUACUGGUAAUCUAGAGAUCGGAAGAGGUUAGUGGAAUUCCCAGUGUAGAGGUGAAAUUCGUAGAUAUUGGGAAGAACACCAGUGGCGAAGGCGGCUAACUGGUCCGAUACUGGACGCUGAGGUGCGAAAGCCAGGGGAGCAAACGGGG